rnacentral:rRNA from 1 species
GACGAACGCUGGCGGCGUGCUUAACACAUGCAAGUCGAACGGAAAGGCCCUGCUUUUGUGGGGUGCUCGAGUGGCGAACGGGUGAGUAGCACGUGAGUAACCUGCCCUUGACUUUGGGAUAACUUCAGGAAACUGGGGCUAAUACCGGAUAGGAGCUCCUGCUGCAUGGUGGGGGUUGGAAAGUUUCGGCGGUUGGGGAUGGACUCGCGGCUUAUCAGCUUGUUGGUGGGGUAGUGGCUUACCAAGGCUUUGACGGGUAGCCGGCCUGAGAGGGUGACCGGCCACAUUGGGACUGAGAGACGGCCCAGACUCCUACGGGAGGCAGCAGUGGGGAAUAUUGCACAGUGGGCGGAAGCCUGAUGCAGCAACGCCGCGUGCGGGAUGACGGCCUUCGGGUUGUAAACCGCUUUCGCCUGUGACGAAGCGUGAGUGACGGUAAUGGGUAAAGAAGCACCGGCUAACUACGUG